AUCGCUUCUUGGCCUUUUGGCUAAGAUCAAGUGUAGUAUCUGUUCUUAUCAGUUUAUAGGACAUUCCAUACAAAAACAGCAGAAUACACUUUCUUAUCAAGUGCACGUGGAACCUUCUCCAGGAGAAGGUUCAACUAGGGUCACAAAUCAAACCUCA
rnacentral:snRNA from 1 species